UACGUAGGGGGCAAGCGUUGUUCGGAAUUACUGGGCGUAAAGGGCGCGUAGGCGGCACGGCAAGUCGGGAGUGAAAGGCCUGGGCUCAACCGAGGAACUGCUUUCGAGACUGCCGAGCUAGAGUGCGGAAGGGGCAUCUGGAAUUCCCAGUGUAGCGGUGAAAUGCGUAGAUAUUGGGAAGAACACCUGGGGCGAAGGCGGCCAGCUGGGCCGUCCCUGACGCUGAGGAGCGAAGGCGUGGGGAGCGAACGGG
rnacentral:rRNA from 1 species